UGAGGCAGGAGAAUCUCUUGAACCUAGGAGGUGGAGGUUGCAGUGAGCUGAGAUUGCACCACUGCACUCCAGCCUGGGUGAGAGUAAGACUCCGUCUCAAAAUAAAAUAAA
rnacentral:miRNA from 1 species